GGACCUCCGCGGGGCCACCUGCCCCCGCGCCCCGGGCGGGGCCGCGCCGCCCCGCGCGGGGCAGAGCCGGGGCGGGCCGACCCCCGCCGCCGCCGCCGAAGUUUCCCCGGCAGCCGCCGGGAAAGUUGCGUCCGGCAGCGAUCGCAACUUUGCGCGCCGGCUCCGCCGCCGCCGCCCGCAGCAUCCCCGCAGCAUCCCCGCGGCGCGGCCCGGCCCCGUUCAAACUUGGCGGCCGCCGCUCCGAGCGGGCCGGCGGAUCAAUGCGGCCGCGGCCAGCCGCGCUGGGAGCCGGGCUACAGGUUUCACCAGCCAUCGCUGGCAACAGCUUUGUCAUUUUCUAAAAAUAAGAAGCUAAAAGUUAUUGUAGAAGAAGGGGCUUUUUUUGUCCCCCGCACAAUGUGCCUUUUGUGAGUUUAAUGCCAUUCUGGGGCUCUCUAUGGCCCCGGACAAUGGGGAACUCCAGGAGGCGGCUGUGCCUCUGCCUUUUUUCUUUCUUGCUUUCUCUUUUCUUCCCCCCACCCCCCUCCUCUUUUUUCCCCCUUUUUUCUUUUUCUUUCUUUUUUUUUUUUUUUUUUUUUUUUUUUUUUUUUUUUUGGGAGAGGAUGCAACAUUCCUCCAGUCCCACCAGAACCUCUGCUUUGAUUAAAUAAAUAUUUCUCUAGCCUAACGGUAACGUUUUUCACUUUCUGCUUGAGUCCAUGUCCGAUUAUUAUUUAAAAUUUUUAUUUCCAGGAGCUUGUCCCUCCCUAUUCCAGCUCUAUCAAGAAAUGUAGAUGAUGGCUGGGAACAUGGGAUUUGAAUUUUAGGAGGAGGUGAACCAGUAAAGAACCUCUAUCCAGGCUUAAGAAAUUAUGUUUUUUUUUCAUGUUUCUAUAAAACCCUAUUUUUAUUAUUAGCAGAAAUGCAGCUAAAUUAAAUAAUGUCUUGGAAAGCUAAAGAAGCUCUCAUUUUUGCUUUUCUUUUUUGCCUUUUUUUUUCCACCCUUUUUUAAUUUUUUUUUUUUUCAUAAUAACUGUAAUUAUUUUCACGGUUUGUUUCAUAGCUCUGAACAAGGAAUGCAGUUGCGGUCAGUUUUUCCAUUUGGGAGAACCUUAAUAUAGAUGUAUUUUAUACUGCAAGGUAAUAAACUGCAUGUUUGUUAGUACCUAUUAUAAUGAAAUGUCUUGAGCUUUCCCUAUUUCUUAACGUGGGGGUUGACAUUUGGAAUUUUGACAAGUCCCUUUAAGUGGGAUGGGGGUGAAGGAAGAGGAUCAGGAAUUUGACUGUGCUGUUGAUGCAUUGCUGGGAGUGUUUGGCGUUUGGGAGAAAGUCGCAGGUUUUAAGACUCAGGGUUCGAUAGGUGCCACGGUUCUGUGGAUGUUGUACCUGCAGCCCUGUGACCCAGGCGUGCUGUGUGUGAGUCCUGGUGCUUGGAUUGACUCCAGAGGGGGACUAGUUUGCAUUUAAAAGCUGCCCUUAAAAAAAUCUGUCACUUCCUGCUUGAUACAUGUCUCGUUUUAUGGAAGAAUAAUUGUUAAUGCACUAAUCUUUAAAAACAAACAAACAAACACCUCCCCAAAAAAACCCACCAAAACAAAACCAACCUCCCCCCCGAACUCUAAAAAAAAAAAAACCAACUCCAAGAGAAAAAACAAAACCAAAAUAAAAAACCAAACCAAAAACCAACCAAGCCCCAAACCAUGGAGCCCUGCGGGAAUCAGAAUUUUUCAGGGCUGCUUGGUACGCUGCCUGGGAAGGUGCAUGUAAUUUGUAGCUGUUCUUGCUGAACGUGAACCAAACGUGGGUUGAGGAAGAGGUUGCGGCGAAAAUAAAGUAACCCUUGUCUUUAGCACUUGGGAUAACUUAGAAAAGUGCCUCUUUUCCCUGAGGCGGCGGAUCUGGUGGCCCAGGCUGCGGGUGCUGCCUGUGGGCACGCUUUUUGCAGAGCAAAGCACAAGGAAACGCGUGGGGAAGUUGGGGGGCAAAGGAGUGCCUGCGGAUGCUCCAGAAAGAGGCACCUCCACAGGGACGUGUGCGAGCGCGGGCUGGAGCCAUGGAGGUUGUCUGCGCUUGCAUCGUGAAUUCGAGCUGUGUGCCGCUGUCCUCUAAUUUCCCAUGACAACAUAUGGAUCCCAUAAAGGCAAACAUGCCGAAGUGCAUCUGUCUGGGUAGUUAACACAAACCAAACAUCCCCCGCUCGGGAUCCCGCUGCUCCCCGGCCGCGCCGCGCCGAGCCCUCCUGCCCCAGCCCCUCGCCGCUCCGUCCUUCUUCCCGCGGCGCGGCCGGGACGAGCCCGAGUGCCCCGGCGGGAGGAGGCGGCAGCGCCGGCCGGAGCAGCGGAGGGGUUAAGCGGGGAGAGGGGCGUGCGCCCCGCGGCCCCCCACCCUCCUGGGAGCGGGUCCAGCCCGAGCAGGCUCUGCCCUGGGGUCAAGUCCUAGGACAUCCUUCCCUCCCCUCCUGGCAAGGCAGGAACUCGGGCUGGGAAGGGAAACAGCAGAUGAGCAGGGGGCAGAGGUUUGCCCCUCGUCCUGCACACAGACGUCUGGAGGCUGGGGAAAGAGAGAGUUCCCAGUUUUCCAGGUUGCAAAAAGAGGUGGCGAGGGGAGGCUGUGCGUGCAGAGAAGGGAAGGAACAAGUGACGGCUGCAGGACCGGCGGAUAAACCACUACGCAAACACCGAAACACAGCCAAGGAAUUAAGGGAUAAUUCGAACAGAAAUCGUUAGCUGUAUGCUUGUUGGAAAUUUGUCUGAAGAAUCAGAACAAAGCAUGGAAGGCCAGAGUCCUUGAAGGAGCUCCAAAUGAUAAAGUCUGCCAUUCAUUUUAAACACUGCGUGCAUUGUGGAAACACAGGUCAAUUUGAAGGCAUUUGUCAGAUUUCCAGUUCCCUCUGCUCCUUUGCAAUGGAAAUUUGCAAUCAAAUCCCUGUGCUGGAGUUAGGAUGUCUGCCUUGAUCAGUUUGUAUGACUCUAUGCCCAAAGCACUGGCCAGGUAAGGCGGCUUUUCCUUUGGAAAGUUUGUUUGUGAGGAGUUGAGAAGGAGAAGGGGGGAAGGCUGAGGGGAGUUGAGCUGGAGCAGAUGUGUUUGUUCUGGGUUUGGAAGGGGAAAGGGCAGGCGAUCGGCAGCGAUGGAUUGCACAGGGCUUGCUGAGCCGCAGAAGCGAGUUGAUACCAUUUAGAGACGCCCAGCAAGAAGCAUGGAAAGGGAUAUUCCAGCAGCAGCACAGUCAUUGUUGGGAUGCAAAAAUGCAGCACGGCUGGAGAGCCACACUGCUGAGCAAUUUCAGCCAGAUAGCAGGGAUUUCUUCUGGAGUCAUGUUUGCCUCAGUUACUGGGGGGGCUGCUGCCCUUAUUCCUGAGACAUGGGGUGCUGGAGGGGAGAGACUAUUGCUCUAGAAGAAAUGCUGUAGGGUUUGGGGAGGUUUGGGCUAAGGGACAUUUCAAAGGAACAUUUAUUCUUUUGUCUCCAAUCUAUUUCUGGGGUUAUACCUGAUUAUUAAAAGACAUCGUGCUCGAGGCAGUGGGAGUGACAGGACCUCUGUGGGCUAUUACAGCUGUCCCCAAACCUGGCAAGGCUGCUGCAGUCAGGCUGAGUAAACACCCCUCAGUCAGACAGCAAGUUUGUAACAUGCAUUUGCUUGUUUUGCAGGCCAUAACACGAGUGGAUGUGUUUGCCAUGGGAAUAAACACUUGGAAUACAUCUAUAUGUUUCUUGGCUUUUUGAGAGAAAUGAAGAAAAAAAGUCUUGGCAUUUAAUUAGGAGUCACUAACCUGAUAAAUAUUGAACAUCAUUUCUUUGUGAGCGGCUCCAUGUGCUCAGAGUACUCUGUGGAUGUAUUCCACAAUUGCACUUAUUUAAUGCCUGUAUCACCUCGUGCCUAUUGUAUUUAUGUUGUCAUCAAUGUCAGAUUUUAAUUAAACAAUUAAAUCACUGUCA